rnacentral:rRNA from 1 species
GUAGGGGCAGGGGGAAUUCCCGGUGUAGCGGUGAAAUGCGUAGAUAUCGGGAAGAACACCAGUGGCGAAGGCGCUCUGCUGGGCCAUCACUGACGCUCAUGGACGAAAGCCAGGGGAGCGAAAGGGAUUAGAUACCCCUGUAGUCCUGGCCGUAAACGAUGAACACUAGGUGUCGGGGGAAUCGACCCCCUCGGUGUCGUAGCCAACGCGUUAAGUGUUCCGCCUGGGGAGUACGCACGCAAGUGUGAAACUCAAAGGAAUUGACGGGGGCCCGCACAAGCGGUGGAGUAUGUGGUUUAAUUCGAUGCAACGCGAAGAACCUUACCAGGGUUUGACAUCCUGCGAACCUCUUGGAAACAGGAGGGUGCCUUCGGGAACGCAGUGACAGGUGGUGCAUGGCUGUCGUCAGCUCGUGUCGUGAGAUGUUGGGUUAAGUCCCGCAACGAGCGCAACCCACGUCUUUAGUUGCCAGCAUUUAGUUGGGCACUCUAGAGAGACCGCCGGUGAUAAACCGGAGGAAGGUGUGGAUGACGUCAAGUCAUCAUGCCCCUUACAUCCUGGGCUACACACGUACUACAAUGCUACGGACAGAGGGCAGCAAGUUCGCGAGGACAAGCAAAUCCCAUAAACCGUGGCUCAGUUCAGAUCGUAGGCUGCAACUCGCCUACGUGAAGGAGGAAUCGCUAGUAAUCGCAGGUCAGCAUACUGCGGUGAAUACGUUCCCGGGCCUUGUACACACCGCCCGUCACACCAUGGAAGUUGGCCACGCCCGAAGCCGUUACUCCAACCCUCGGGAGGAGGACGUCGAAGGUGGGGCUGAAGAGUGGGGUGAAGUCGUAACAAGGUAACCGUA